UACGUAGAUGGCAAGCGUUGUCCGGAAUUAUUGGGCGUAAAGCGCGCGCAGGUGGUUCCUUAAGUCUGAUGUGAAAGCCCACGGCUCAACCGUGGAGGGUCAUUGGAAACUGGGGAACUUGAGUGCAGAAGAGGAAAGUGGAAUUCCAAGUGUAGCGGUGAAAUGCGUAGAGAUUUGGAGGAACACCAGUGGCGAAGGCGACUUUCUGGUCUGUAACUGACACUGAGGCGCGAAAGCGUGGGGAGCAAACAGG
rnacentral:rRNA from 1 species